GACGAACGCUGGCGGCGUGCUUAACACAUGCAAGUCGAACGCUGAAGCUCAGCUUUUGUUGGGUGGAUGGGUGGCGAACGGGUGAGUAACACGUGAGUAACCUGCCCCCUUCUUUGGGAUAACGCCCGGAAACGGGUGCUAAUACUGGAUAUUCACUGGUCUUCGCAUGGGGGUUGGUGGAAAGGGCUUUUCUGGUGGGGGAUGGGCUCGCGGCCUAUCAGCUUGUUGGUGGGGUGAUGGCCUACCAAGGCUUUGACGGGUAGCCGGCCUGAGAGGGUGACCGGUAACAGUGGGACUGAGAUACGGCCCAGACGCCUACGGGAGGCAGCAGUGGGGAAUAUGGGACAAUGGGCGCAAGACUGAUGCAGCGACGCCGCGUGAGGGAUGGAGGCCUUCGGGUUGUGAACCUCUGUCGGUCAUGGUCAAGCCGCAACAAUGGUUGUGGUGAGGGUAGUGGGUAAAGAAGCGCCGGCUAACUACGUG
rnacentral:rRNA from 1 species